rnacentral:lncRNA from 1 species
GUGGACAUCUGAUUGCUGAGUAAACAGGAACAGCUACUACUAAACACUAGACAUCCUGCAUGAGUAAAACGAAACGAAACCAAGGCCAAAUUCCUAAAAUACUCCAUUACAGCUAGUUGAGUUUUGCCAGUGCAGAGCAGCUGAGAAUUGGCUGUAGCACUCAACAGUUCAAACUCUGUAACGGCUAAGAUUGCCUCUCCUAAAAUGUAUUGUAUAGCAGUGUUGAACAGCUCAAAGCAGAUAAAAAUUGGGCAGGAAUUAGACCACUGUCUGUCUCUUGACGUAACCUGAAAUUGCAGGCAAAGGAGGAAUCGAACUCAGACGACAACAACAGCAACAAUAAUAGCUUCAACGCAGCCCUCCUGUCUUUGAAAAGGACAACUGCUAUCGCCUUAUCACUAUUAUCUCCCCAUCAGGGAAAAGCAUCAGUCUCCAGUACUAAAAGGAAAGGGAAGAAAGAAUGUCGUUAAAUUAAAAACCUCACUAAAUAACUGACUUUAUAAAUAUUUGACAAUUGUCUCCUGGUUUUUGUUACGUUUUGAAAGGCAAUACUUUUUUUUUUUUUGGUCAAAAGUUUAAGUAAAUCAAGGUCUUGGUAUUUAAAAUUUUAAGUUUUCUUCUUCCUUUUAUUAUCCACUGGCAGUGCCAAGUUAAGUUUAAACUUAUGUCCCUGGACCUUUUUUCCCCAGCAAGAGCAAGACAGCAGUCUCCACAGAUAGCAACAGCAAGAAUUCACUGGUGAGACAGGCUGAAUUCAAAAGUUGUCACUCACUUUAUGCUCCCAUUUGAUUUCAGGGAAAUGUUUCCCUCGGUAACUGCUCCAACAAUCACUAUAUUACAAUAUUACUAGCGCG